rnacentral:lncRNA from 1 species
GCUUCGGCUCGUGCACGGUGUGCGCACCCACUGACCUGCGCCCACUGUCUGGCACUCCCUAGUGAGAUGAACCCGGUACCUCAGAUGGAAAUGCAGAAAUCACCGUCUUCUGCGUCGCUCACGCUGGGAGCUGUAGACUGGAGCUGUUCCUAUUCGGCCAUCUUGGCUCCUCCCCCGUUGGAUGGUUGACGCUUCCUGAUGAUUAAAAUCAAUAUACACAUUCCAGGUUGGAACAGAAGAAAUGCAGUAUUCCUCUGAGGACAUCACUUCUGGAGCUCAAGAAUCCUGUUUCUCUGACAGAGGAAAGGAACAACAACUUGACUGGACACAUCCUAACCCAACCAUACGCUGUGUUACUUCCUCCACUGCGCCACACACAGCUAUUAUUCUAAGCUCUCUUAUUCAAACCCUUAAGGAUUUGUAAGAUCAUUGCUGCAGUCUCAGUCUGCUCUGCAGGAAUAGACCAUCUGAGGACACAGCACGAAGGUGGCCAUCUGCAAUUCAAGGAGAGAAGCCUCGGGAGAAAAUAAACCUGCCGGCACCUUGAUCUUGGACUUUUAGUUUCCAGAGCUGUGAGAAAAUAAAUGUUUGUUGUUUAAGCCACCCAGUCCGUGGUAUUUUGUUAUGGCAAACCUAGCAGACUAAUACAGAGAAGGAUGAAAAAUGAAGAACAUUUUUUUUUUGGAGCCUAUUACAACAGAUGAAAAUUCAUGCCCUCUUACACCCUAAGUUUCAGAGUAGGGAAAUAAAUACUACAUGUAAUGAAGACAGCAAAUUAUACAAUAUAUGAGAAGGUAAUAAAUGCUGUGGAAGAAACUCGAAGGUUAUAUUGAACUAGGAGAUCAGCAGUGCUGGGGACAGAGGGUUACAGGUUUUGGUACCAGACAGGAAGAGCAGGGAGGCAUCAUUGAGAAGGUACCAACUGUGUACUCAGAAGAGAGGAGGCAGCUGGUUAUGAGGUCAUCUGGGGGACAGCACGACAGGUAGAGACAGGAAAAGUAUAAAGGCUCUGAGGUGGAACCUGAG